rnacentral:rRNA from 1 species
GAUGAACGCUGGCGGCGUGCCUAAUACAUGCAAGUCGAGCGAACAGACGAGGAGCUUGCUCCUCUGACGUUAGCGGCGGACGGGUGAGUAACACGUGGAUAACCUACCUAUAAGACUGGGAUAACUUCGGGAAACCGGAGCUAAUACCGGAUAAUAUAUUGAACCGCAUGGUUCAAUAGUGAAAGACGGUUUUGCUGUCACUUAUAGAUAGAUCCGCGCCGCAUUAGCUAGUUGGUAAGGUAACGGCUUACCAAGGCAACGAUGCGUAGCCGACCUGAGAGGGUGAUCGGCCACACUGGAACUGAGACACGGUCCAGACUCCUACGGGAGGCAGCAGUAGGGAAUCUUCCGCAAAGGGCGAAAGCCUGACGGAGCAACGCCGCGUGAGUGAUGAAGGUCUUCGGAUCGUAAAACUCUGUUAUUAGGGAAGAACAAAUGUGUAAGUAACUAUGCACGUCUUGACGGUACCUAAUCAGAAAGCCACGGCUAACUACGUG